CCUUGGAUGAAUUAGCAAGCAAGAAGAGUCAGUCUGAGGCUCCUCACUGUGACGGACUGAGGAGCUUUAUUUACUCCCUGCGGAUAGUGGCCUGCCACCAGAGAGGCCACAGGCCGGAGUGAUGGAGCUGACUCAUAGGGUAAGGAGAAAGUGGCCUGGAUCGUUGACAGAGGUAAGCAGUGUCCAAUUCCUCCUAGGCGGGGGAGGGAGAGGUUAUGGCAAAGAAAGCCGUUUCUAUUCCACUGGGCAAUUAAUGCCACCAUUUUUCUUGAAAAAGCGUUUUUUUUUUCAUAAGCCGUUGAGGAUAAUUUAACCCCCAUCUUGACAGGACGUACUAAUGACCGCUAAUGGAUACAUUCUUUUAAUAAAUGAAGAGGCACAAGAAAAUUGCCAGAUAUUAAACAGAGUCCCACAUGUCUUAUCUGAGACUAUAAUGGCUCUAUCAAGUGACCCAAGUGAAAGAAAUGUCACUCUUCAGAGGUUAAAGGAGUCUAUUUUUUCUUAGUGCGAUAUAAAUUCAUGGCUAGAAAGAACAGUAAUUCAUUGGUCUACCCUAGGAAAUGUUUAAAGGGGGCUGUAUCUCAAAUGAUGCAUUUUCUAUCGGUAGUAAAGAAAAUAUGAAAUAGGUACCUCUGUGCACUGUGGAUUUAUGUAAAUGGCUUUUUACCAGGUAAUAUAGCCUAAAGCUCUGUCAAGUCUCUAACGCUUGGAAUUUUUGGCAAAGAAAUGAAAGAACCUGUAAGUUAUCAUUAUUUUAUUUUAUUUUUUUCAAUACCUUCCAGGGUGUGGUCUUUUUGUUUGGUAAUUUUAAACUACAUUCUUGAAAAAGUUUCUCAAGAUUCAAGCAAUUCCUAGGACUGUAUGUACACUUGGGGAACAUUUCUUAAAAUACAUAACGAAUUCAAAUUAAUAAGAAAAAGACAACCCAGAAGAAAAAUGGACACGUGAAUUAAUCAGAAACUCAAGAGGUGGCGUAUAUUUGAGCAUGGAUCUAAAUGAGGUGAAGGAUUGAGAUGGCUGCUUGGGGAAGAACUUUCCAGGCAUGAAUGAAUGCCUGAAUUGAGCAUCUCCACUUCCUGAUAUGAGAGAAGAGACGUAACAAAGAUUCCUCCAGAACCAAAAGGAUCCGAGAUAAGGCUAACUUGAUUAACGUGCUUAAUGUGAAUGCCACACCUUGGGUUUCCCAGGAAGAAGACUCUCAGAUGAAGACCAGUGUUUAGGAAGCUUAUUAGGAAUGCUUGCGGGAUCAACACCUGCUGGGGAAGAAAGGCAGCAAGAUUGGGCAGAGGACAGAGUUGGGCUAUGGUGCAGUCUCAGUGGAGGUUUCCAUCGGCCAUCGGGAGUUCUGAAGCUGGGCUGGCCCUUCGGGGUGGUCCCAAGUUGGGGGCUGGAUCUUUAUGCCUCGCCUUAGUCCAUCAUUAGAUGUUGGCCAUCCCAGGAAGGAGUAUGACCUUGGGUGAGGUACUCAGGUCCUCUUUAAGGAAGGACUUGCUGCCCAACGGCAGGUGCUGCAGCCAGCAUCCAGCUGUCAGCCCCUACAGGGUCAGCCUUACUUGCAGAGAACCACCUUGCUCGAGGUCAUGCCCUUCCUGAAGCAGCUGGCAUCCGGUGAGUGGAAGAGGUGGGGUGUUGAAUGCCCUGCCAUUCUGGCUUGUUGGAGGACACAGGUGGGCUGAGGUUUCAUUGGGUCUGCAUAACUGUGUGGCUUCUGCCUCUGCCCAUUCUGUUGCUUCUCCUUCCCCUUCCCAGAUGUUGACCCCUCAUGAACACCUUGCACUCCAGUAUAUUUCUAAGUGCUUCUGAGAGCCCGGCCUGCAACACCACUUCUCCCCUCUGCCUCCAGCCUAGAGAUGGGAAUGGCUUCCUGCUGGUGCUAAUCUCUAGGUGGCCUCACCAUGUCCCAUUUGGACACUCUGCUCUUGCAUCAUCCAUGUAAUCAAUUAACUGCAUUAAAUCCCCAUCUCUUUAAAUAAAGUAGGUUCUGACACAGCCAACAUUAUACUGAAUGGGGAAAAGUUGAAAGCGUUCCUCCUGAGAACUGGAACAAGACAAGGAUGUUCACUUUCACCACUUCUAUUCAACAUAGUACUGGAAGUCCUAGCCAGAGCAAUCAGACAAGAGAAGGCAAUAAAGGACAUCCAAAAAAGUAAAGAGGAAGUCAAACUGUCACUGUUUGCUGAUGAUAUGAUUGUAUACCUAGAAAACCCUAAGAACUUAUCCAAAAAGCUCCUAGAACUGAUUAAUGAAUUCAGUAAAGUUUCAGGAUACAGAAUUAAUGUACACAAGUCAGUAGCACUGCUGUACACCAACAGUAACCAAGCUGAGAAUCAAAUCAAGAACUCAGCCUCUUUUACAAUAGCUGCAAAAAAUAAAAUAAAAUACUGAGGAAUAUACCUGUUACCAAGGAGGUGAAAGACCUCUACAAUGAAAACUAUAAAACACUGCUGAAAGAAAUCAUAGAUGACACAAACAAAUGGAAACACAUCUCAUGCUCAUGGAUGGGUAGAAUCAAUAUCGUGAAAAUGACCAUACUGCGAAAAGCAAUCUACAAAUUCAGUGCAAUUCCCAUCACAGUAUCACCAACAUUCUUCACAAAGCUGGAAAAAGCAAUCCUAAAAUUCAUAUGGAAUGAAAAAAGAGCCCGCAUAGCCAAAGCAAUACUAAGCAAAAAGAACAAAUCUAGAGGCGUCACAUUACCCAACUUCGAACUAUACUAUAAGGCCAUAGUCACCAAAACAGCAUGGUACUGGUAUAAAAUAGGUACAUAAACCAAUGGAACAGAAUAGAGAACCCAGAAAUAAAGCUGGAUACUUAUAGCUAACGAGUCUUCAACAAAGCAAACAAAAUAAAGUGGGGAAAGGACACCCCAUUCAACAAAUGGUGCUGGGAUAAUUGUCAAGCCACAUGUAGAAAAAAUGAAACUGGAUCCUCAUCUCUCAUUUUAUACAAAAAUCAACUCAAGAUGGAUCAAAGACUUAAGUCUAAGACCUGAAACCAUAAAAAUUCUAGAAGAUAACAUUGGAAAAACCCUUCUAGACAUUGGCAUAGGCAAAGACUUCACGACCAAGAACCCAAAAGAAAAUGCAACAGAAACAAAGAUAGAUAGGUAGGACUUAAUUAAACUAAAUUACUUCUACACAGCAAAAGAAAUUAUCAGUAUAGACCACCCACAGAAUAGGAGAAAAUCUUUGCAAUCUAUACAUCUGACAAAGGAUUAAUAUCCAGAAUCUACAAGGAACUCAGAUCAGCAAGAAAAAAACAAAGAAUCCCAUCAAAAAAUGGGCUAAGGACAUGAAUAAACAAUUCUCAAAAGAUGUACAAAGGGCCAACAAACAUAUGAAAAAAUAUUCAACAUCACUAAUUAUCAGGGAAAUGCAAAUCAAAACCACAAUGAGAUGCUACCUCACUCCUGCAAGAAUGGCCAUAAUCAAAGAUCAAAAAUAAUAGAUGUUGGCAUGGAUGUGAAGAAAAGGGAACACUUUUACACUGCUGGUGGGAAUGUAAACUAGUACAACCACCAUGGAAAACAGUGUGGAGAUUCCUUAAAGAACUAAAAAUAGAUGUACCAUUUGAUCCAGUGAUCCCACUACUAAGUAUCUACCCAGAGGAAAAGAAGUUAUUAUACUAAAAAGAUACUUGCACAUGGAUGUUUAUAGCAGCACAAUUCGCAAUUGCAAAAAUAUGGAACCAGCCCAAAUGCCCAUCAAUCAAUGAGUGGAUAAAGAAAAUGUGAGGGAUAAAAGACUACACAUUGGGUACAGUGUAUACUGCUUGUGUGAAGGGUGCACCAAAAUCCCAGAAGUCACCACUAAAGGACUUAUUCAUGUAACCAAACACCACCUGUUCCCCAAAAACCUAUUGAAAUGGAAAAUAAAUAAAGUAGGUUCUGUUUUCCUGGCUAGACACUGCCUGAUAUAGUGAGUUUUACAUCUAAACUUCAGUUUAUAUUCUCAUUUCCCUUGCUAAUCUAGUAUUUUAUAAGGGGGCCCUCAACUCAUAAAUAUAUAUUAAUAUAUAUAUGUUUGUGUGUAUAUAUUCCUCAUCUGCAACCAAACGCAGAUCGAAAAUACAGUAUUCCUGGAAUGUGACACCCACGUGUAUCAAGGGCCGACUUUUCAUAUAUGCAUGUUCCUCAGGGCCAACUGCAGGACUUAAGUAUGUGGAAAUCUGGAUAUGUGAGGGGGUCCUGGAACCAAUACCUUGUGGAUACCAAGAGAUGACUGUAUAUAUUUGCUCCAGCAGUGGAGAUGCAGCAUACAUAAGUGUUUUGCCAUGACUAUGCCCAAUGUCAUACUUGGGGUCAGGUUGAAGCCCAUGCUGAGGUCCAAGGGGAGUGGGUGGAUGGGCACAUAGCGGUAAGAACACUUGGAGGGCCGUAAGCAGGUGAAAAGUAGGUUUAUUCAGCAGCUCUCCCAUCAGCAGCUCUCUCACCCUGUCUGCCUUUAUCUUGGUUGUGUGCUGUGACUCUGUGGCUCCUUUCAGCAGUUGGCUCUGCACCUCUGGCUGCUUCCACACACAGGUGUAUGGCCAGCUUUCCCUUCCUUCAGGGUCAGCAGCUUAACUCUUUCCCUCUGGGCACAAACUGGUUUCUGGCUCCCCUCUGCCCGCUUUCAAGGCGACUGGCUCUCCCUUACAGGGAUCAGAAGCGUUACUCUCCGGGCACAGUAUGCACACUGUGUUGAGCCAUGUUUAGCCAUGCCCCAGAGUGCCUGUACGGUGUCAGCAGGGCAGUUAUACCUUUUCCAAACAAUAGUGGCUUUGAGCCAAAUAUGAGCUUACACAAACAGGUUAUAUAACAAAUAAGAGUAUGUACCUGCACCCUAAACUCGCCGAGUCAUGCAGGCCUGGAUGUCUGCCUCGGCCUAAUUCUUGACCAAAGCACAUGGAUGUACCUUACAGUAAGUAAGCCCAGCAAGCAGCAGAUGAUCCAUAACCCAUAUGAUCCUCAGGUGGGUCCUUAGCCAGCACUGCUCCUCACCGCCACUUGCUCUCAGCUAUCCCUGUGACCCCAGCUAAAAUUGGACAUGUUUGGCACCAGCAAUCCCCAAGCUGGCCUCUGGCUGUUUUGCACUGACCUUCCUCCUUCUCCUCUUCCUCCAUUAUCUUUGUGUCUGGCUCUGGCAUCACUUCCCUGGAUUUCUCCUGAGGGCAGAGCUCGGAGUAGGCUGAGGCAAGACAGGAGCCAAGGGCACACAAGUUAAGGACACAUUCACUUCUUAGGUUGUGCAAGUGCAGGCUGGGCAGUUCUUCUCUUUGGAGGGUUAAGAUGGGAAGCUGUUACACAGGAGGCUGAGUCAGGAGGAUUGCUUGAGCCCAGGAGUUUGAGGUUGCAGUGAACUAUGAUUGCACCACUGCACUCCAGAGUGAAACCCUGUAUCUGUCUCAAAAAAAAAAAAAAAAAAAAAAAGGAAGCUGGGACUGAGCUUGAGGCUGCCUGGCCAGAAGCAGAGGUAGAGGGUAACCCUUGUAUGUCAGGGUACAAUCAGGAGACACAUCACACCAUGUUUUUUUUGUUGUUGUUGUUUGUUUUGUUUUGUAUUUUUAACAGGAUUUAAUAGAAUUAAUUGUUAAUUAGGUAACCGAAAAGGCAAACUUGAUAGAACUCUAGAACUCGAAGGUAUCAUGGAAGUAGCAACUGCAAGAAGUAGCCACCACUCCGUGGGCUAGGGGAGCAAAAGGAGGAGGUGGGAAAUAUUCAAACGUAGAGGGUCCUGAGACCCAAACCUCUUGAGGAGCAGGUGCUACUCUUCUGGUGCCAGUGUCAAGGAGCACCAUGAGGCUGGUUCUACAAGUGCUGAAAUUGCAAGCUAGACUCAACAGCUGCUACAGGAGCUGCUGCAGCUGGGGUCAAUGUUGCUGGGGUAAAGCUCAUAGAAAUGGGAAGAAAUGGAGACAGACAAGAAGGAGGAAGUCCCUGCUUCCCCCCUCCAGCCCCGCGGUCUCCCUCUAACGCCCCCUAUCGGCAUAGCCUACCAAGGAGUCACAGAGAAAGCAGGAAUUUGGUUUGCAGAGUCCCAGCCCCAGUGGGACAAAGCUGAGCACAGAAGGAUAGGUUUGGAGCCCGCCCUACACUGAAGUGGAGGGGAUUGGACAGAGGCACGAAUACAAGGAUUUGGGGCAGAUUGGGAGCCAUUUUAGAGGCUGCCUGCUACAGUUGCCUUUCUCACUAUGACCCUGGCGAUAGUUGCAUUGAUUUUUUUAAGAGUAGUAGAUAGCCAUUCUGCACGAAUGACAAACUAUGAAGACUCAAUUCAUGCUGAGUCUCCUGUUCUAACCAAAUUACACUUUAUAACAAAGUUAAUUUAAGGCACAUAUAAUGAUACACAUAAGUAUUAUGGCACCAUAUGGUAAUUAGGCAUCCGUGUGGUGGAAAGCUCACAGAAAUGACUGUAAUUAGUAUUACUUCUAUGCAGCCAAACCCAUUUAACUUUUUAUAGUCCCAUUUGUUUGGGUCGCCAGUACGUAUCAACAGCCUCCACGCUGAUAGUUUUCUCCAGUACCACCUACCAUUUAAUUAUCACCCCACAUGCAAACUCUGACACUCACAUAAACUAAAUUACAAAGAUCCAAACUAGUAUCAUGCAAUCGUUGGGUGCUCUGCCUCUGCAUCCUUCUUUCCAGUGUUUUCCAUUUCUCCCUAUUCCCCAAAUGAAAACUGAGCAGGAGGAGGCUUGAGGUAGUAACAAUUGGAUCAGGAGGCUGUGACCUGAAUUUCUUAAGAAAGAUGCUGAUAUAUUAAAAGACCUAGUGAGAACAGCUUAAACUAUUCUCAUUUCAGAAUGGUGUACUUGAAUUAUUAAAGCAGGCAGCCCAUAGAUCUCCCCUCACAAGUUGCAGAUUGCUUGGGGGUAAUUUUAGUAGGGAAUAAAGUCUUUCAACUUUCAACAACAACAAAAAAGUUGGCUGGGCGCAGUGGCUCACGCCUGUAAUUCCAGUACUGUGUGAGGCUGAGGUGGGUGGAUCACGAUGUCAGGAGAUCGAGACCAUCCUGGCCAACAUGGUGAAACCCCAUCUCUACUAAAAAUACAAAAAUUAGCUUGGGUGUGGUGGCGCAUGUCUGUAACCCCAGCUACUCGGGAGCCUGAGUCACGAGAAUUGCUUGAAUCCAGGAGGCGGAGGUUGCAGUGAGCCGAGAUCACACCACUGCACUCCAGCCCAGCGACAGAGCGAGAGUCCGUCUCAAAAAAAAAAAAAGUAAAUAUGCAAAUCGAGGCAAGAGAACAUAUUAGUAUUUAAUGAGCUCCAAUUCUUUGGAAACUGUUGUUAGAUCCUUUCUUGUAUUGAUGAGGAAGAAUGAGGGCCAGAAGAGGGGGAAAGGGGAAAGGAAAUCACCAGGGGCAGGGAUGGGAUGGGACAUAUUGGGGAACUGUGAACUAGAGACCUACAAGGUAGGGUUGCCAGAUAAAAUACAGGAUAUCCAGUUAAAUUUGAAUGACCAGAUUUAGCAAAUAAAAAAUAUGGGACUCAGUUAAAUUUGAAUUUUAGAUACACAGUGAAAAAUAUUUUAGCAUAAAUAUAUCCCAUACAAUACUUGGGACAUACUUAUUCUAAACAUUAUUGUUGUGUAUCUGCAAUGCAAAUUAAUCGAGAGUCCAGUAUUUUUAUGUGCUAAAGCUGGCAACAUUACUACAAGGUUAACUUCUCACUUUCAUCCUGGAACUUGUUUUGUCAUUAUCUUUGAGGGUCAUGGUGCUAUGGGGCCAAAGGGACUUCAUGCCCUUUUGGAUAGCCAUGGGUCUGACAUUCAUCCUGCCCUCCCCUGCUGCUCUCUGCCUCCUGCCUCUGGUCCCUCAGGCCUCAAAGCCCCUAUGCCAGCAGACACAGGGCAGCAUGUUGAGGGAGAAGAUUCUGCACACUCAUUUGAGGCCCGCCUGACCCUGUCUCCCUCACAUGUUCAAUAGCACUCGGCCCCACCCUCACCUUCUGGAAUGUUGUGCCUCCAAGUCUCUAAGCACCACAAUGUGUGUGUAAAUCUAGCAAAAUAGACAGAUUUUGAGACUAAAUGGGGACUCUGGGUAUGGAUUUACACAUGGGCAAAAUUUUUCUUGCUGAGCAGUUUGUGUUAAAUGGGAUUUAGUUUGCUCCUUGAUGAUCAGUCUGGGAGGGUAGUUGGAAAUCUACCCCUGUACAGGCUUCUUCUGAAGUUGCUCUUUCAGAUUUUACAGCAUCAUGGAUCCUUUUUUAGUGGCCAAGUUUUGGAGCUAGCAAAGCAGAUAAAGCUACACGGAAUAUUCACAUUUUCAUUGUGGAAGGAGAAAACAAAAUCUGUGUCUCCAAGAUUUCUAAAAAAACAGAAAAAAAAAUGGGUUCCAUUCAAUGCUAAUCUCUUCUUCUUCUUUUCUCUUUAUCCUUCUAUCUAAUUGCAGUAUGGGUGAAACUAUUGCCCACUACUGGGAGAAGGCUAUUUUCUUUGCCAGUUGUCCAAACAAUGGAAAUUUCCUGCAUUCUUUGCUGUAGUUUCUCAAAGUUAAUGGGCAUAUGCUGACUUUUAAAAAACUAGCUGUUACUAGGAGUGAAAAGAGUUACAAGAGAAAAAAUUGCUUACCUUCAGACUCUCCAGUGUUGGCAAAAAAUUCUUUCUAAAGAAAUGAAUACCAAUGACAAAAAUGUCCAUGCUGUUCUUCAUAAAUUUGGACCCUGGUUCUCAUACUGUGACUUACCAGAUCCCAGAUGUAAUGCCAGGACAGGGAGGAUAAAAGGAGAAAGGCAGGAUCUAAUUAUUAGAGGUUCAAUGUUGUACCAAAUGGUUCCUGCUACAAGGCUAACCUCAUCCUCCAUUCUUCCUCCUUUUCCCUCUGCUCUGACAACCUGAGCUGUUCAUUGCCCUCUGAGUACUGCAGCUGUUUCUCCCCUCUGUGCUCAUACCUUUGCUGCCCUCCCGCCUUUUUUUUUUUUUUUUUUCUUGAGACGGAUUCUCACUCUGUUGCCCAGACUGGAGUGCAGUGGCAAGUGCUGGGAUUACAGGUGUGAGCCAGAGCACCUGGCCCCUUGCUGCCCCAUCUGUCCAGCUAUUCCCAUUUCAUUUAGCUGACUACUUCCUAUCCUUUAACGUUCAACAUGGGAAAUGUCUCGUCCAGGCAAUGCUCCAUCCUGGCCCUUCCAAGUUGAGUAAUGUGUCCUUCCAAUGUGUCCUCCAUAGAGGUUGCUAUGUGUUCCCAUAGCAACCUCUGCCAAGCUCCAUCAUUGUGUGAACCACAGUAUAAGUACUUGUUGGUUUGGUCUCCGUCUCCUCUGCCUGGUUCACAUCAGGCAGGUGGGUGCUCAGUGGAUAGCUGAGGUACAAUGACUUUGAAAUCCUCGAUAAUAUAUUCUAACAUGCUGGCUGGAGGACCUCAACUUAAUUAAGCCCAUCUGAGGCUUGUGACAAUAGUAACAUGGGCCUGUGCACUAUUUUCAAGAUUUUCAAAUGCCCACUGGAUAUCACACAUUUACCUGGGGUAAGAAACUUUCUUGUCAAAAAUACCCUCUUGCAUUAUUUCUGAGUGGGGUUACAUUAACCCUCUCUGAUGACCCCAUUUUUUUUUUCAUGAAGAACAGUAGAUGUAAUUGGCCGCUAGUAUAUACUUGUCCUUUAAAAAAAAAGUCCAAAUGAUCACUUAAAUGCAAUUUUGGGGGGAAUGGGGAACAGUAAGUAAAAUCACCACUAGGUUGCACAUAAAUAAAUGUUUUCUUUGGUGGUGAAAAGGUGAGAUGCCAACUUUGUGUCAUUAUUCAUUACUUACUCAAAUUUACUGAACACCUGUUACAUACCAGGCAUGGCUUUAGGAGCUCCAGAAAUGUAUGUGCUCCACAUAUGUUAUUGCAUAGUGAGUAAUCCUCUGCCCACCAUUCUUCUUGUGUAAGGUCGGCGCAGUUCCUGCCAGUGUGGAUCACAGGGCCCCAGCUGGGGAGAACAGAGAGAGGCAACUGAUUUCCUUGCAGAGUCUGGCAUUGAGAGAGGGUUCAGGGCCUCAGGGACUGGGUGAGUGAGCAUCAUGCCUCAGCCACCCCUUUCAAGGCUUCAUGUUUGGGCUGCUUAUUUUCUGUGCUUAUGGGAAUCUGAGAACAGACUUGGUUGAAUUCAUUCUUACCACUCAGCUGCACAGUAAUUUCUGGGCAAAAGGAAGCUUCUAAUUAAGAGUUCAAAUCCCCCAGAAGCCAUAUGCCAAGCCACAUAUGUGACAAAAUCCCUGGCUGCCUUCUCUGGUAUAGGGACGAUAACAGCUAACUGGCGUGCUGCUCUGGGCCAGCUGGGCCUUUAACAAAACAACAAUCACAACAACUACAAAAAUCUGCUGCAGCUGCUGGUUUAAGGGAUGGGUUAUUCAAGGGCCCAUCUCCCACCAGCUGCUUUGCAUCUUCUCUUUUGUUAGGACCUGAGAUAUUUAAGGUCAUUGAAGAUUCUGGGCCUACUUUAUAUCAAAUAUCUAAAAUUCUGCUCACAUUCCACAUUAGGUAUGGUAUAUUUUGCUCUUGCUCUAAAACAUUUGAAAGAGUUUUGUUUCAGUUAGCUAAUGCUGUGUAACAAAUGACUUCAAAACAUAGUGGCUUAAAGCAACAAUGUAUUCUAUUUCAUGGUGUGGUCUUCUUCAGCUUCAAGUGGUAUUAGCUGGGAACAGUGGGUGACUGCAGUCAUCCCAAGUUUUGAUCAACAGCUCAGCUGAGGUUGAAAUGUCUGAAAUACCAGGGCUUUAGGAGUCAGAUGGAGCUUGACUGGGAUUUCAGCUGCGGGCCUUGAUUCUUCUCCAUAUGGGCCUCCCCAUGUGGCUGCCUGGGCCACCUCACAGCAUGGUGGCUGAUGUCCAACAAGAACUGUUCCAAGAGCAAGCAUUCUAAGAGGGAGGAAGCAGAAGCUGCCAGGUCAAUUAAGGACUAGUCCUGGAAUUGGCAUAGUACCACUUCCUCUAUAUUAGUCAAGGGAGUGGCAAGCCCAGCCCACAGUCAAUGUGGGAGGGAACUAUACAAGGACAUGAAUACUGGGGAACGUGUUCAUCUGGAUCAUCAAAAUAACAGUCUAUGGCAAGUUUUUAUUAUUUUGGUACUUAAAAAAACCCCCAGAAUUACCAUAUGCCCCAGCAGUUCCACUUCUGGGUGCAUACCCAAAAAAACUGAAAGCAGGGACGUGAACAGAUAUUUGUAUACCCAUGUUCAUAGCAGCAUUUUCACAAUAGCCAAAAGGUGGAAACAACCCAAAUGUCCAUUGCCGGAUGAAUGGAUAAAGAAAAUGUGGUAUUGUCUUAGCCCAUUCAGGCUGCUGUAACAGAAUACCAUAGACUGGGUGGUUUAUAAACAACAGACAUUUGUUUCCCACAGUCUAGAGGCUGGGAAGUCCAAUAUCAAGGCACCAGCAGAUUCAGUGACUGGUGAGAUCCCUCUUUAUAGAGAGCCAUCUUUUCUCAGUGUCCUCACAUGGUCGAAGGGGUAAGCAAUCUCUCUGGUGUCUCUUAUAUUAAUAUGAGGGUCCUAAUCCCAUUCAUGGCCCUUACGAUCCAAUAACUGCCCAAAGGCCCCACCUUCUAAUACCAUCACCUUAGGGGUGAGGAUUUCAACAUAGGGAUUUAGGGAUUUGUGAGGGAGGCAAGCAUUCAGACCAUAGCAGGCACAUACAUACAAUGGAAUAUUGGUCAGCCUUUAAAAGGAAUCCAGUUUGGACACAUGCUACAACAUGAGUGACCCUUGAAGAUAUUAUGUUAAGUAAAAUAAGCCAGGCACAAAAGGACAAAUAUUGCAUGAUUCUACUUAUAUGAGGCACCUAGAGGAGUCAAAUUCAUAGAGACAGAGAGUGGAAUAGUGGUUGUUGCUAGGGGCUGGGGAGAGAAGGAAAUAGGGAAUUAUUGUUUAAUGG
rnacentral:lncRNA from 1 species